rnacentral:misc_RNA from 1 species
AUAUGUCAUUGUAUUUUUUUUUUUAACUUUUAGAACAUAUAUCAUUUCUAAUUAAUUUUAAGAAUUUUUAUCAAAUCUUACAAUUCAAUUUGAUUCUCGAUUCAUUAAAUGAAGAUUUUAAUUCGAUUUGACAACUAUGGGUCAACAACAUAUAACAGUACAAAAGCAAAUCAUUAAUCAAAACAUAUAAACAAAUAUUUUGAAUUUUAAUGUUAAUUAGGUAACAAGGUAGCCAGCCGGAGUAGACUUCAUAUAAUUGAUAAAA